rnacentral:sRNA from 1 species
UGUAUAUGUUCUCCUAGAGUCUUUUAAUAAGAUUUUAUACUACUUGAUAUACUAGAUUAUUUCAUCGUUAGAUUUUUUUUUUUUUUUUUUUUUUUUUCUCAACUUCUGGUGAUAAUUUAAGUUCUUAAAAAAAACUUUGACCAUCAAAAAUAUGAUAUCUUCUUAAGAUACAUUAAACUAGUCAUUCAUGAAAAUUUCUAUAAGUGAUUAUACCUUUAAAUUAAGUUAUUUAUCAAUCAAUUUAUUUCAUAAAAUAAUCAAGUAUUAUAUACUAAUACAAUUUUAAUGCAAUAUUGUAAAACCAAUCAGAAUAAAACUAUUUUGUGCAAAAUCUGGAUUUUACAUAUAUCUUGACAAAACUUUUAUUUAGGGUAAUAUGAAUUCGUGCAAGAUUUGGGUAAAAUGAUUUCGUGCAAAAUUAGGGCAAAACCAUGAACUAUUUUUCUUUUUUU